GUUCAUGAUGUGGGAGCAGUCUCAACACUUGCGGUAACCGGCAUAUUGGUCUACAUAGGAUCGUUUUCAAUAGGAAUGGGAGCAAUUCCAUGGGUUGUGAUGUCCGAGAUAUUUCCAGUCAAUAUUAAAGGGCAGGCAGGAAGCAUAGCAACAAUAGUGAACUGGUUUGGUGCAUGGUUAUGCUCCUAUACUUUCAACUUUCUCAUGAGUUGGAGCUCCU